GAAGGGACCAAGGACUCCUAAGAGGCACCGAGGGGUGCUGUUCUAGGCCAGUUUAAAGGGCCAGAAAUAGGACGGAAUGCCCUGGACAGAGAAUUCCGGCCAGUAGGGCCAGUGAAGGCGGAACAGAGAUGACCUCAAGGGGUGGAGUCCUGUGCAGGAGACCUAGACAGACCACUGGGGGAGAGCCCCACAAAAGCCGGGCUGGAGCUCUGGCCUUUGGCCCUACAGGCAGAGAGGUCCUGGGAACCCUCCACAGGGAGAGGUCAAGGACUGGCCCAGGGCAAUUUUUCAGUCUCUUUUAGCUCCUCUAUUUCCCAGUAUGUCCUUUCUCCUUCCCCUUCCCCCUCCUGAGAUUUUUAUGAUUGUGGGACAGGAGGAGGUGAGUGCAGGACCGCUUCCCCUCACCUGUUCCAGGAUGCCAGACUCCUUCCGAGGGAGGCCGCUGCUCCGUGGAGAGACUGUUGGGGCUCGGGUCAACACCAGAAUGGAAGUAAAGGAAACCAAGCGAGGCAAGUCCCUGAGCCAGCGCAGCGCCUCCUGCCGUGACCACGUGGCCCCUGGCUCCAGCACCAGCCUGGAGGCCCACUCUCUGAAGAACUUUACCAUCCCCAAGAUCCACAGGGCAGCAGAGAAAGUGUACUUGUCAUCUUGCCACACCAAUCGGAGGGAGUACAGUUCCAUAAGCCAUACCCUUUCCCAGUGCAGACUCGACCUGAGCUGUGAGCUCCAGUCAUCUUGGCAGUUUGGGGAAACGAAACUAGUUCACAAUGAAUACCUGGAAAAAAAGUUUUCAGCCAAAAGGUCGGAGAUGCGGGAGCACGGCCGGCGAGGCCGAGAACUGGAGGAGCAUUACUGCUUCUUGGCACUGUCGCACAGCGCCGUGUCCCGGAUGUACCAGAGCGGGCUGUGCACCAGGGAGUCGACCCUGAAGGCGCUCGGCAACCCCCUGCUCGGCGUCUACCUGUUCCGGCAUGCUGACGUGGCCCUGAGUUACGCGCGCAGUCGGAAGCACCACGUGGACAACCUCAUGAUUUUUAAGGUUCUCUACGGGAAGGUGAAGAAGAUCCAGCCUGUGAUGGACAAGAGCAAAGCCUGUCUGGACCCUUCACCCAACUUCGACUGCCACAUGUCACGCCUCAUCCCCACGGCCAAAGACAUCAUCGAGCAGCAGGCCGUGGGCUCCGCAGUUUAUCUCUACGAAUACAACACACUUUCAAAGCCUGUGGACAAGCCCCGGCAGUGUCUUCCAUAUGCCACUAUAACGGUCAAAUUUCUUGGUCAGAAAGCAGAAAGUGGGCCAACUAUCACCUCCUUGCGGUUUCUCUCUGCGGGCUUUCCCAAGUGGUCUGAAAAAAGGGGCUCUUUGAAUAACUGUACCAUUGCCAAAAGGAUCGGGAAGGGGAAAGAUGCCACUGUCAUCUACGAGCAUUUCCCAAAGCCUACAGAUUCCUCAGCUCAGGACAGCUGCUCCUGUAAUGCAGAGAUGAAUCCUGAUAUAUCUUCUCCCUGUGGAAGCGUACAGAAUAACAGCUUCUUUGCUGUAGACACCCCAGAUAGCCAAAACGACUAUAAUUUAACAGAAAACCACAACCUAUCUCAAGUGCAAACAAUUGAGGCUAACCCGCCCCUCCUAGCCAGUGUGGGUGCCACUCAAAAUGUGAAUGGUGACCUGUUGAUAAACUUGAAUUACCUUGAAAAAUUCUUCAACACCCUUUCUGCUGCAGUCACUUUUCCUAACAGUGUUGGCACCAGCACCGUGACAACCUCCAAGCUCAUCAAGGACCCCAGGCUGCUGAGAAGAGGAGUACCCCAUGACCAAGCCAAUCCUGAGUCAGGCUCCCAAGAGACUUUGCCAUUAGAGAGCAGGGAAGAAUACCCUGAUUCACAAAUGAAUUCUUUGCCAUCCCUGCCCAUGGCUGCUGCCCUCCCCCCUGGUGCCAUCCCUGGUGAGCCCAUGGCACUCAAUCUGGGCUCCCCUCAUCCUGAGGGUUUGUCCCAUGACGCUGCUUUGAAAGGCGUUUUGUCUCAGAACUGUGACUGCAGGGCUAUCCAUGAGGUUGUCAUGGAUGAUCCAAAAGAAGACCAACAUCAUACUGAUCUUCAGGUGCCUCUUCCCUAUGCUUCCAAAGAAGUCAUUCCAGAGCAUGAUAACCGGGAAUAUAUUGACAAAGAAAUGGAUAGCUCAAGCGAGAUGAACAAAAUACUUCUUCCAGUUAAGAAACAAGCCAGAGGAAAGUGCAUUUCAGAGAUGAAUCACUUUCCUAGAAAGGGCAUGCCAAUGGAUACCAAUUCAGAGAGUCUUAGUAACCUUGUAAGCCAGGAAUCGCAGCCUGAUGACCUCAAAAUUGUCCAUGAAAUACUUCAACCAUCCUCUCCAGGACUUCUCCAGGUUCAGAAAGAAACCAGAAAUAAAUACAAUCAGGGUACUCAAAAUGUGAAAAGCUUGAACACAGAUACAGAAAACCAUUCCCAACAAGGCAAAAAUAAGUACUGCAAGAAGAAAGAGAAUUAUGACUCUACUCACGGAGAAAAGAGUAGCUCAAGAGAAUGUUGUGUCUCUUAUGAAAAGCAUAAGGUUUUGAUUUUAUCCCACCAAGACAGCAAUGAUUGUAAAAAACCUAGGAACCAGGGGACAGUAACUAUUCCAAUGCGACCUUCCACAUCUCGAGAGCAAGAAAGGAAACACAUACCUUGGAAAUCAGAAAAUAGUUACCCAGUACUAAGUACACAGAAAUCUUCCAAAAAUUGCCUUGAAGAGUGGUUGAAAUGUGAACGAAUGUAUAUUGAUAAAUACUUUUCCAAACCUCCAAAAGUAACAGAACUAAAAAUGGAAAGUCUGCAUCUGACACCCAUUAGCAUGAAGGCCAAUGUUUCCCAGGAGAUGGACAUCAUUGUUCAGACCAAAGAAAAGCCAAAUGAUUUGAUUAAUUUGGCACUUGACACGGAAGUGUCACAUUCCAAGGUGAUCAGAGAUGGGAGUGAGAAAUACUUGGGUGUUAGUGAAGGAAAUGAAAAUGGACUGUUGUCCCCAGAAGACCCACAUAAAGAUGGCAAAAUGGAUGUCUGCCUUGCUGAAGAGGCAGACCAGAGUCAAGUUUGCCCUAUGUUCUGCGACCCAGUGUUUGGAGAUGACAAUAUCGCUUUUCCUGAUUUGAAUGUUUAUUUUCAAGAACAGGAAUUAAGGAAUGAAGAACAUAAUGGCUCACAUCCUAAAGAAGAGGGGAGAGAGAGUCUUUCUACAGAAAAAAAUAAAAUGGAAAAUAUUUAUGUAAAUGAGAAGCAAAUUGUUUAUAUGGAGGAAAACUGCACCACAAUGGUCAAUAAUGAGAGAGAUAUCAAGAAUUUGGGCAGGUCAGAAGUUAUACAUUCUGAAAAGUUUUCUUCAGUAUUUAAUUUCACCUGGAAAAAAAGCUACAUGCCUUUAGAAACUGCCCUGGUUGAAAAUGAAAGCAGAGUUAUCCCGGGGAGUCAAAGAGGGAUACUUUUCAGUCACAAAAGGAAGCUGAUGCCACUGACUUCCACAACCACGUUGUCAGAGUCCACAAGUUCCUCAGCAGCCUGUGUGUGCAAAAACUCUGGCGCCAACAUGCCCAUCCCUGCUGCUCUGACACCAGAGUUCAGGCACGAGUUUGAAGACAACCAAAGGAACUUCCAAGGAAUAGCCCAAGCCAUCCAGAGCCCCAGUUUUGGAGCAUGUGGGAGAAAUAUAUUUGGGGAACAUCAAAAUGAUGCAAACUAUGGCAGAGCCAGUGAAGCCCAUACGCAGCCAACUAUUAGUGAGGACCAAGGGGUCCUGCCUCCUCAGGAUCUGGACUUUAACAAUGAGAUUGAAGUGGAAUUUGAACAAUGUGAAGGCUCUUUCCUGCAACUACAAGGCACAGCCAUCCAUGGAAAUCUGCCUACUGAUGAAAUGAGCUCUGUGUACCAACUCCUAGAAUCUCGUAUAGACUGGGAAAAUCUACUUGGAAGCCAGAAGCCCUCAGAGAUUUCCAAAAGCACUUGGCCACAGGAGGAUGGAAGCCAAUGUUUCCUUAAGGAAUGCAGUUGCAUUUAUUCUUGGACCCAGAAAAACCAUCGGGAUCUCUUAAGUCCAGUGGUGGUUCCUGAUUUACAAGUUGAAAUUACAAAUAUCAUUCAGACAAGGUUCACCCUUUCUCAAGAGCCACUAGCAAUGCAAGGUGAGGUGCUGGUGUGCCCCACACCGGAUACUGAAGAGGCAGAAAUGAAUGCUGUGUGGAAAGAAUUAGAAUCUAUGGCCGAUGCUCCCCAGUUCACCUGUGAAAACACAGACUCUCCCAGCCAAGGUGAGCUUUUCAUGGACAUAUGGCCAGAGGCAUCUGAACUUAACAGGAAUCUGGUCAUUUCCCCACCUCCUGAGUCAUCAGCAGUUCACAAAGCAUGUUCCCCUCAACCUGCUGCUACUUCUAAAGCCACACAGGAUGAUAGGCCCUGCCCCUUGGCAAAGCUAACGGCUGUCCAUAACAAAGCUCCAAGAGGAAAGGACACGAGAUCCAAAAACAGCAGACGGAAACAGUCACUGUCCUCCUUCAAGGACAAAAUCAUACAAAGGAGAAACUUCAGAUAUCCAGAGCCUUAUGGAGUAACCAGAAAGACAUCUCAUCACCAGUCAUCUGAACAGUUUUCUUCUUUGUCUGAGGGACGGAUCAGGACCUUUUCACAGUCGGAAAGGUACAUCAGAAGCGUUCUGAACGUCCUCUACAGUGAAGCAUCUUUGUGCAAGAGCAAACGUCUGUCCCGAAAACUAAACCGAGCUGUUCUCCAUUUAAAGAAAGCCCACAGAAGGGUUCACCGAUCCUUGCAGCUCAUCACAAAAGUCAGGGAGAAAAAGAGAAAGAGUCCCUUGCCGAAAUCCUAUGAGGUCAUACGUAAUAGUUUGUGGGAAUGUUGUGACUUGGAAGGUUAUAACUUUCUGACAGAAAGGAGGUAUUACUCGAGGCAUUAUUGGCAGAAGAGAAAAAAUGACAAACGGGAAGAGAAGAGAUCUGAAAGACUGCAAGUGGUUGGGUCUCGGACCUCUUUCCCACACCACCAGGGUUACAGCAGCAGCAGUAGCAGGGACCAGGGAGUCCGGAGGUCAUUUUCCAUAGAAGGUCCAUCCACCAAGGCAUCUAGAAGUCGAGUGAGCACCCCGAGAAGCACCACUCUUCACAGACCACAUCACUCCAAGUCUCGGGGCUCAGCAUCAAGCAGGAGCAGUGGGAAAGGCCCCAAAAGAGGGGCUGACUGCCAGCUCUCCAAAGGACAGCAAAAAGCUUUCCCUUCUCAUCAUUCUGAUGAUGUCAACUCCAGGGAGGCUCCCACAGGAACCCAUUCUACUCCACCUACAAUGGAAAGAAAUGGGGAGUUUUGCAGUGACUUUGGGGGAAAUGACCUUCCCCUUGAUACCAAUAAACCAAAUGUAGGAGGCAAUAAUGAAACUGACUCCCAAGAGAAUCCUGAUAUAUCCAUUUCAGCCUUAAAAUCAGGCACAGAACACUGUUUCAAUGUAGAUGUCUCUAAAACAGAUCAGCUGAGGUGGCCUAUGGGUCCCCCAGAAUUGGAAGGUUACCUUCCUGCAGAAAAGUCACUAGCACUCACAAGAAGCUUGAAUCCAAGCAUGGGUUCGGAACACUUGGUUAGGGCCUCUGGUGAUCUGGCUCCCUGGACAAGUCAAGAGGGAGAGAGUAUGUUCUUAGAUUUAUCCGGCAUCUCUGUUGAAAAUAAAGAGGCCGAAUGGUGGACUCUCCACUCCAAGAGGCAGCCAACUGUCGUUGGGCUUGCACCCUGCUCUCCAUCUCUACAGCAAGAGGAGCCACAACUUCAAGAUGAUGGAGAGGAUUCUUUAGAUACGAUUUGGGGCCCUUGCAAAAAUUACCUUCACAGAGGGGAUAGGGAGGAAGGAAGUGAUACUGAAAAUACCCGAGAGGGGCCUGUACCACCUGAGAAAAAUAAAAAUUGUAUGAACUAUGCUGUCGAUGUCCUUUUAAAUAACAUCUCUUUGGAGAACAUGAGGCAUUCCUUAUCACAAAAAUCCAGAGUAAAGGAAAAGGUGAAAAAAAGAUGGAAAAAACAAGUAGAAAGGGAACAACAGGGAGAAAAGCCAGUAGAACACUCAAGUGUUUUAACAGAACUUUGUGAAAAAUCUCCCAUCCAGAUAGAAGACCAAGGUAAACAGGGCCAGGGCUUAGACAGUUCUGUGGUGACUGCCUCCUGGAGGAAGACGACCCCCAGUCAGCUGGCCAGGACCAAGGAAAAGGAGGGCGGAGGGCAGAUGGAAGCUGAGGAUGGGCCAACCCUCUCCACCAUUACACCACAAGCCACAAUGCUGGGUGAUCCUGCAAUCAGGAAGAAAGUCCCCCAGACCCGUGUCAGGAAAAUGCACUCAAGGAUUCCUGAGGCUGAACCUACUCGGCAGCCACCUCCCACAAGUGAAUUAGAGGCUCGGCCGGAGGAGGACCCUCCAACACUCAUCUUGAAACUGUCAAGAAUUCUGCAAAAGGCAGAUGAGGCGUCCACUCUGAAGAGUUUACAAGAACAAAUCGACACAUGUCAAGCAGUUCUUCCUUUAUUCAUUGAAGCUUUUGAAAGAAAACAAAAAUGUUCCUUUAAACAUAUACUGAUUUCUCGGGAGCUGCUGGUAGAAGGGAAUGGUUGGAAUAAUUGUAAACACCACCUCCACCCACAAGCGGUAGAUUCCCUGGUAGAACUCCAAAUGAUGAUGGAAACCAUACAGUUCAUUGAGAACAAGAAAGGUCUGUUGGGCAGUAAGCCCACCUUCCGAAGUCUGCUGUGGUAUGAUGCUUCCCUGUAUGGGGAGCUGCUCCGUGGGAAUCAGGGCUACCAGCAGCAGGCCUGCCUCUACCCUGCUUUUCAAGACCGACUUAGGUACAACGCCUUCAGCGAAUUACAGCACUACCAUGACCAACUGAUCAAACUCUUAGAAGUGGCCAAGAAUAAGAACAAAUCCUACUAUGUCAUCUUAAAAUACAAAAGGCAGAUUAAAGAGUGUGAAGAUGUCAUGAAACACAGCUCUAACUUCAAUUUCUCUCUUUCUGCACCGUUCACCUGUGGGGUUAAUUUUGGAGAUAAUUUAGAAGAUCUAGAAAGUUUAAGAAAAAGCACUUUGGAACUCAUCAGUAACCAGGAUCAUUUCCUUAGAGUUCAGUCUUGUUCUGGGAAGCAGGAUCAUCUCUGGAUCAUCAUGGAAAUGAUCUCUUCCAAGAUGCACUUUAUAAAAAACUCUGAAUCUGUUGGCAUGAAGAUAUCUCUCUAUGGCCUGGAACACAUCUUUUUUGAUGCUGCUAAAAGUCUCGUUUGGAAAGAGAGGGGCCUAUCAGUUAUCAAAAAAGACUCUCCUGAGAAGAGGAAGGAAGAACUACUCAGAUUUAAUGAGUGUGCCCUUAACAAGCUUCAGCAGAUCUAUGAGACUGUGGAGGCUAACAGCAAAGCAGAAUGUGCUUCCAUGGGUUUGCUUGAGGAAACUGUUGAUACUCCCAGUAAGCACUGUGACUGCAUAGAUGGAGAGGAUAAGCCUAGCUGGGAAAAUUUCAGGUUUAGUGAUACUCUUUUUCCUCUCUCAGAUAUGUGCCAAGUUGGAGAAAUAAUAAACCAAGCAGGAUCUGCUGACCUGAAACAAUUACAGGAACUGACAGCAAGAUGCACGGGCCAUUUAGAGACCUUAAAGAAAUGCUUCCAGAUUCUGCAGGAGGCCGCUGUGGAUAGUGUCUUGAUCACAGAAGACAACGUGUUAGACCUGGUCAAGAAGCAUCGCCAAGAGUCAGUCAUCCUGAAACCUGAAGCUGUUGAGAUGUACAUCGAAGUGGUUAUGCUCUCUGAAACAAUUCACUUCCUGAAAAAUGUCAUGGCCAAAAAACUGGACAAACCAAGGUUUCGGGGGAUGUUGUGGUUUGAUUUGUCUCUCCUUUCUGAGUUGAUAGAAAACCAAGAAAAAAUAGCUUCCUUCUUGUUUCUCAAAGAAAAUGCAGCAGGCUGCCUAUGGGAAGCCGUGGAAUCGGCCAUAUUGGAACUGAAAAGCGAGGUGGCUGUCAUCUGUGAGUACCCUGAAGGGACCAAUUCCUCUUAUGCACUCCAGCUACUGACCAGAGAACUCUUGGAACUCUCUGAAAUAAGGACAUUCCUGGAACAGGCCACCCUACCCAUGGCCACAUAUGUGGACCUGGUGCCUUAUACCUUGACUGUAAAUUAUGGCACGACCCUUUCUGAACUCGAGCACAAUUACGAGUUGUUUGCUGUAUUGUUGAAAAACCUCACUUUGGCUUCCCAGAAAGAUCUGGGGAAGAUGGCCCAUGUCAUGAGAGUCAUGAAGACCAUUGAAUAUCUGAAGGUCUCCUGUGCCAAAAUGGGAUGGUGUGAGCUCUCUCUUCUCACCUGCCAAAUGUUCACCAAUGCGGAGAAAGCCCUCCAGUGGAAAAAAGAGCAGACCAGAGGAGACCAUGAGACGAAGCCCAGAAUGGUCACCAAGAAACUGGGGGCUGCUUGGAGACAGCUUCUGUCUCCCUCUGGCUUACCCCACAAAGGUCCAACUGUCUCCAAAAAACGAGCUUUCACUUUAGCUCUUUGUGAAAGUGGUCAGGAGCAACUCAAGAGUCCUGAUCUACCAAAUUGCAAAAAACCAAAGGUCUCACCACAGAGCAGCGAUCGUCCAGCCACGGAGGUGGAGAAAGGCCUGGAGCGGGAGAGGGAGAAGGUGGCUGAUGAGGGAGGCCCCCUGGGCCUUGUCCCCCCUCCCCAUCUGAGCCAGACCGGGAAGUGGCCCCACGAUGUGCCCGUGCAGGGGGCUCCAGGGCCCAGCUGCCUGCUCCUCCUGCAAGGCCCCACCAGAGACGGCCUCCCAGGCGGCACAGCCGGGCCACAGGAAAGCGCAGCGGGAACUCGAGGGAGAGGCCUGCCCAGAAGCCUGAUUAAGAGAAGCUGGUCUGAGGGGGCCCUUCCCAACCCCCCAGGCCUUCCUCUCCAGACCUCGAAAGCCUCUCUCGGUCCCUGUCUAAGGCAAGGACCAGACGCCCCACAGGCUGCACCCAUUUUGGCAGGUGCCAACUCCCAUAGCGAAGCCAAUCUCCAUUCUGCCACCGCAACAGAGGGCUCAACCUUCCUCCAUCCGGACCACGAGAGGUUCCCUGGCCCGGGCAUGGUCCUGCCGGGCCACGUGGCUGUUGUCAUUCAGCCCAGCUGUCUGGGUGCCUCUGAAUUACUGUCCACUCAGAACAGACUUCUGGGCCCCCCAGGGCCCCCCCAGCCAGGCCAGAGGCCCGAGCCCCCAAGCCAGCGGGCCCCUGGGGCACCCGGGGUGUGCCCCUUCUCCUUGCAGCUGCCGCCACAGCAGCCUGAAAGCGGGCUGGGGGUAUUCGUGCCAGCCUCUGGGGGCUGCUGGAAUGGCCACUCCCAGCAGAACCCCCCAGAUCCUCAGGUUUGGGGCCCCUCCUACACCUCCUUCUACCCUUCCUAUUCUUGGUGUGUGUACCACUACUGCACCAGUGGCGGCUGCAGCGGGGGCAGCUCUGUCACCCACACCUACCAGGGCAUGGCAUCCUAUGAGGGCCAGCCUCCCCCUCAGGCUAUGGCCAGGCCGCCCGUCUAUCACUUUCCCUCUGGGCCGCUUGGCCAUUCUGGCCCCGGGGACCCUCAGAGGAGCGGCUUUGGACAGCCACUGCCCAUGCAGGGCAUGGGUGCCUCCCACCACGGCCCACUCCCCUGCCCUGCCGCAUGGCCACCCUUUGUUGCCACCACCUGCGCGUCCAGCCAGGGACUGCCACAGGUCUCCUACCCCUGCCAGUUCAGCCCAGGCUUGUUUCCAGGAGGGACCUGCACUUGUGGUGAGUACUGUGAGGUGAGAGUGCCCCAGCCGCGUGUCCUCGGUGCCAGCUCUCUCAGGGAGAAGCGUCCACUGCUGGAGUCUUGGCAGAGCUCAGUCCUGAGCAGGGCUGGCCUGCAGCAGGGCAGGAGUGUUCCCCGAGGGCAUGGGGGAGAGGAGUGGCGUAGGUCAGCUCCUGCCCUGUUCCAAGGCUGGAGGAGGGAGAUGGGGCCCAGGCCUUCUCACCCCCUUUGUGUGUAUUCUAAAGUGGGAUCACCUGCAGAGCUCUGGACCUAAUUAGGAAAACCUACCUUCAACGUCUGCCUCUGCCACGUCUCCUGGGCAGGUCCCCUUACCUCGGCUUGCCCCCAUUUCCUCAUCUGUAAAAUGGGCAUCAUAACCACCCCCGCCUCCCAGGGUGCUUCUGAGGAUCAAAUGAGAUGAGCCAUAUGAGGACCAGCCGUAUCCUCAUUCCCAUCCAGCCCUGAGGGACAGGCCCUUGGAAAGAGUCUGGGCCAGACACAAGAGCUUGGAGUGGCCCGGGCCUUAAGGGGCACCCUCCGAGGCAGCUCCAGACCAGGGCCGCCUAGUCAGGGCUUAGCCUUGCCUUUCUGAGGGGCGGGCGGAAAAGAGGGCCAAGACAGAGCCCCUGGCACAGCCCUCCCUUCCCUUCAGAUUCGUGCGUGAAACCAAAGGAAACUUGUGGUCUGUGUCAGCAUCAAGCCGCCUCCUUCUCCACAUGCCAUCAUCCAUUCCCUACAGGCUGGACCCUCGGUCUCUUCUCCGUUUUAAAAAUGCUCCAACAACCUUGUUUCUUUGGUUACUCCAUCCCCGGGGACUCUCUGAGCCCUCCCCAGCACCCUUCCUUCAUGGAAAGCCAAAGAAAAAGCCUUCCUAUUGGAUAAGCCUAGGCCAGCUUGAAUCGAGCAGGGUCCCUGAGCACCUUCUCCAGAGGCCCUCCCCUCAUCGAGCCAUUGGGCCCCCAAAGCCUUUCAGGAGGGUUGUCAUCCCUGUAUAAACGCGGCUGCCUUCUCCCCACGUCAGCUGCUAGAAAUCUUUCCAAGUUGGUCUGAAUCCGGCCUCCCUUUUGUCCUGUCAUCCGUGAGCACACAGGAGGGUGCCAUGGCAUCCACGAGGAGCCAUUUGAUUAGCCGUUCUCCACAGGCACCCUCUCGGUUUCCAGACCUUUGCCUCCACAGAAACACCAGCCGGACUUUAACCCUGAAAACUCCCAGCCAUCCCUGGCUCAUAUGCCUCCUCUCGCUCUGACAGGAGUCACGGUAUCUGGGGUGCCCAGGGAGGGAAGUGGCUGGGGCCUCCCAGGAGGCUCCGAGUCUUGAUGGGAUGGGACUGGAUAGGGCAGCAGCAAGAUUCUAUUGGGUGCACCUCCGGUCUGAAGAAUGGAUUCUGUAACCUGCAUGGCCGUCGGAGAGCACUCCAUCUCCAGAAAGUAGGCACCUGCAUGGAAAGCCAUGCCCUGGAUGGGGACAGUUUGGCAGGCAGAGAGAGUUUCUAUAAAAGACUCAAAGUGAAAGAAACCCAAGGGUGAGAGUGUCAGUCUAGUGAGGUUCUUCCUCCCUCAGCCCAAAGAAGCAUCAUCCUGAUGGGGGAGGUGGGCUGUCUGGACAGCGGUUGAUGAUCUUGCUCUUUCUCCAUCUCUUUUUCUGCCUCGGUCCCUCCCCUUCUCCCCUUUCUGUCUCUGACCCUCUGACAAGUCUUUCUCUUUCUGCCUGGUUCUCUUUUUGUUUCUCUCCCCCCACCUCCACCCCCAUCUCUGUCUCUCAGCCUCUCUUUUCUGUCUCUGGUUCUCUGUCAGUCUCCAACUGUCUCUUUCUCUGUCUUUCUCUUUGUUUUUCUCCCUUUCCUCUUCUCUCCCUCUCUGUGCCUAUCUCCAUCUUUAUCUCUCCAUUUCUCUCCCUCGUACUUUGUCUCUCUUUUUGUCUCCGUUUCUUUUCCCAUUUUUCUCUCCUCUGCAUCUAUCUCUCUCCUAAGAUUUUCAUUUCCCUUGCUGACCGCUUAUCCUAAAGAAGGUGGAGAAUACUCCUUAUUCUGAAUCUGAUAAGUGGAGACUGUGGGAACCAUGGAAAACAGCAGCCACCCCCAUUAGAAUGCUCAUGAUAGUCAGUACUAGGAUGCCAGGCCGUAGGGUACAUCCUCUCGAUUUUAGGAGGGCAGAUAUCAAGGCAAAACCGUCCCGUGGUCUGAGACCUCCAGAACUCUUGACUAUGCUGGGCCCAGUGAAGAAGGAAAAAGAAAAGCCAAGUAAGAACCUGCUGUGGCCCUGAAAAGGAGGUGCCCAUCUCCUGAGGCAGAUGGCCCCGUGUUAGUGAUGUUGACCCUUCACCUUUCUCUUGCCGAUCUGAGAUGUGCAGCUUUCUAACACUAGCACUAGUCUUAUUAUUACGGUGGUGGUUGUGUGUUGUUAUUACUACACCCUGGCUUUUCAGAGGAGCUCACAAGGCUCAAGAGACGGUGUGAGUAGCCUGUGGUCACACAGCCAUGGUGGAAUUGAAAAAUGGAUCUCCCGACUCCCAAGUCAAUGCCCUUUUCAGUGGACCAAGCUAUUUCAGGGGCGCUCCGGCUUCUUUUAAAGACGUUAUGAGAUGGCAGUGAAGGCUGGACCACGCCAGACCCUGAAAGAGCCAUAGAGUUUACUGCUGAGCUGUCCUCAAUUAGCUUUGAGGAGGCAUGGAAGGCCUCCCACAAGAUAAGCAUCUCAGCUGUCAAGAAAGGAAUGAGCGUGGAUUCUCUUCUUGGUUGUUCCUCCUCUCACGUCCCGGCAUCCUUUUACAACGGAUCCGUAAAGAAACAGUUUAUGAACAUUAGGAAGAAGUUGCACUUGGGCAUUGCGUUUCCUUAUUUAACAGUAUUGCGAUGCUAACAUUGUUGGAGACUUCCAUAGGAAAUCUCUGGCUAGAGCCCCAAUACCUCACCCAGCAUCUUUGUCGAAGAAAGGGAGAUGUGUGAGCCGGAUGACUGUAUAGUUAGGUGCGCCUAGAACUGAGCAAAUGACUGAGCCCAAAGGGCUGUUCCUAGUGAACCCAGGGAUGGCCUGCCCUCGGAGAGCCGCCGCUGGCCUCUGGUGCGCUACCAUUUUAUCACUGAACUAACAGAUAAAGGCACAGUUAUCGGGUCCAUACAUUCGAUGGCAUAAUCUAGAUCCAGAAAGGCCUUACUGCUCCAGAGCAUAGGCUGAAUGGAAGUCAAGUCCCAAGUCACUGUGUAAGGAAAUGUCCAGGAAGCCCCUUCUGAAGAAAGCCACAGCUGGGCAGGGGGCUCCGCUGCUGGGCAUGAUCAGCAAGGGCACUGGGCACUCGUGAGGCAGGCAGGCGUCUCGCAUGGCUCCUUCGCCCUCCUCCGGUCCCCCCUGCAGCAGGGGGUUCACUUCUAAAUCUCGGAUCAUCUGGGGGCACCGAGGGGGGCAUCCCUUACACCCUAGAAGGAGCUUUUAAUGCUAGAGUGAAUGUUGGGCUCCGGGGUCAGUCUAGGGCAUGGCCGCCUUUCAUAUCUACCUCGAUACGCCGAGUUUCUUUCUGGGCUGAGGCAAGGCUGACACAGUGUAAUUAUGCCUGUGUUUGCUCAGCACUUGGCGUAGUUGCCGGCCCCGUUUUAGAUGCUUUAUACCUGCUGCACAGCCAGGUCCCAGUGUAGUCCAAGUCGGCUCCUCCCUGCAAAGAUAACUACUGGAUCCAGAAGCAGAGGGCCAGAGCCUGGGCUGCCAGCUGAUCCUCGGCCCCGCCGAUCCUUGCUUUAGGUUGGGCUAAGACAGUCUGUAGCGUCCCUUCCCACAGUAGACCUUAGAGGACACAGAUCCUUUACCCUGGCGUCCUGCUCCCAGGGAGGGAGGCACAGUUAGACUGGACCUCCCCUCCCCCUUUAUUCUGACAGAACUCGACUCCCCAGAGUCCUUAACUGACAGUAACAGAAUCUCAGGGCGCGCUGCCUAUGGGUGGGCUGCCCCAGGACCUGGAUCAAAGUCGAGGUGGAUGGAGGUUGUGUCAUAUCCAUGCAUGACCCCAGCCGGAGAGGAUAGCCAACUCCCUGGAGACUCCGUCAAGGAUGGGAAGUGUCCCCUCUGCCUACAGCAGCAGUUCUCAAAGUGUGCUCGGGGGUCCCCACGGCCCUUUCGGGGGGUUCACAAAGUCAGAAUUUUCCCUAACGAUACGAAGGUGUCCUUAUUUCUAACAAUUGUAACUACUGACAUGACCUACAAGAGCCCUUUGAGAGGUCCUCUGGAAGUUUUGUGAGGAGAAGGGAGGCCUGACAUGAGUUUGAAAGCUCAGGCGAUGGUGAGCAUCUAACAAGAUAACGUUUGGUAGGAAUAAAGAAAUAUAACGUCUUUCAGCUUAGCUCAAAAGUGCCAGUUGGACAAGAUGGCUAAGCUUGUUUGUUUGAAAAACACACUUGGAAUCUCUCCAUGAGUGCUCAGGAGGGACUAGCCUCUGGUACGAGGGCUGCCUGGCCUCUUCCAUCUCUCACCCAAGUCUCUCUUGUGGCCCUAACAAGGGGGAGCAUGGGCAGUGGCCCACACCCCAUAAAUCCUCUGGGCACAUAGGCCCAGCUGACGGUAACUGACGGUCCUCGGACCCAUUGGUGUCCUAGGGGAGCCUGGGAAGACUCCCUCUGGCCCAAGAGAUGGAUGAGCCAUGAACAUCCCCAGUCUCCCAGGCCGUUGCCUGUCGUCCUGACCUUUGUCUUGCCCCUGGACUUCUAUACUUGGGAAGAGCUCACUCAUUGAUUGUGUAACCCCACCUUACUUCAAUUCAGUCCACAAGCAAGCCAAGACAUCGUCUCCUGAUGUCAUGGUCGUCUUCAAAAAUGAAGGAUGAAACUUAAUUGUUGGUGUGACAUGGUAGCCUCCGCAACUUACACGCCUGAGGAGAUAGAUGAUGGCACUCCUGUCCUGGGCACUGGUCAGCAGAUCACUUCUGGAGGGCAGGAUGACUCUGUGGGAAGGACACUAGUACAUAAGAGAGAGAGAAACACUGAGAUGAGGAAGGGGCUUUGAACCUUUGAAUGCUUUGAGCAUUGGCGAAGGAACUUUGGUUGUUGACUUUAGAGAAUAGAAGAUUCGGAGAGGAUGUGAUCAUUGUCCCCAAGAAGUUGAAGGACUACUGUGGCAUAGACAAGAGAUCAAAUUUGUUCUGUUUGACCCUGAAGUGGACAGGAUCAGGAACUAUGGGUGGAAGAAGACAAGAGGCACCCUGAGGCUUGAAGUCAGGAAAAGAGCUCAUUGACAAUUAAAACUCAUUAUAAAUGAAAUGGGUGACCUUUUGGGGGAGUUAGUAAGCAUCCCUUCAUUGGAGAUCUUCAAGCAAAGGCUGACUAACUCCCUGUCAGGUCCCACAGGGUGGUGAGAUCCUUUUCUAAGUACUGGUUGUACUAGAUGGCUGCUGAGGUCCUUUUCAACUCUGAAAUUCUAUAGUUCUCUUCCUGGCAACAAGGAUCUUUGCAGAAUGGACAUUGAAAAUACUUUGCAGUCUGUCUGCAGGAACAGAAGGGACUUCAUGUAGGGAUUUGGGAGCUGGGGGUGGCAGGGUGGGAUGUUCCUUGGUUGGUUUUUUCCUUUGAUUGAAUGAUAAUGUAUUGGUCUUAAAUUUAGAAGCCAUAGAAUACUUUUAAUUCCAAGCAUUUCACUCAUUAAGCGAUAAGAAAAUCCAUUUUCCUUAAUGUUUUCCAAAGCCAAGUUCAUUUCCAUGUAUGUCCCUUUUCUGCUGAGCUUGAUCAGGCCUCUCAUUUGUGAGCCCCUCUAGCUCUUGACGGGGCACGUCUUCCGCAUUAUAAAUGGUUCUUAAGCCACAUAAAAGCAUUCUUGCUUCCAUUCUGUCAGGAGGAGAGAGAAGCAAGUCCAGUCUAUCAGAAUGAUUCUGCGUCUCCACAUUUUUACUUUGUUCCCCUUCAGAAUCAAAGAGGAGUUUACUUUCUGUUUUCAGAACAAAUGCCAAAAAAAGGGCUCUUCUGGAAUCUUCAGAUUUUUUUUCCAUCAGUGUCAUCAAAACUUUUUAAGUUUCUUAGAUGGUGAGAUCACCAAAUAGUUAUUUUUGUAUUCAUCACACCCACACCCGGCCUUGACUGUUUUCUUUGAUUAUAAGACCAUCUUGCACCUUGUACUUGUGACAUGUUGUUACAUCCCAUGUAACAUAAACCCCAGGCAGGUUCUUUUGCUGCAGAGGAACUACAGAAACAAAAUACAGAAAGGGGAAAAGAAAAAAAAAAGAGAGAGAACUAGACUUUGCAGCCAAAGAGAGAUUAGAAGUGCCUCUCAUUUCACCCUCUUAGUGAUGUUCGGCGUGAGAAUUUAUUUGCCAGCCAGUCCACAUCCAUUAUCUUACUGACCUUGGUGAUGAACAAAAGAAACAAUGCAACAAGUUAUGCCAAAGUUACAGGUCCUGCUUUAAUAUUUGGGAGAUCGCAUAUGUUUAGGACUAUGAUUUUUGUUACGGAGCCAUGGAAGAGGAGAUAACGAAGAUUCUUGUAGAAUGGGAAGACUUGUUGUUUGGGGGCUCCAAGUAACCGACCUUUACAUUGCAUUCCCUUCUGCUACUAAGGCUGUUUGAUAUGUUCAUUGCACGGAUGCUUGUAAUGCUGAGUAGGAGAGCCAGAGAGCACUUUUUUCAGAAAUUUAGCAUAGAUCCCCAAAUCAUAUCUUUCAUGGAAUGUUUCAGGCCUUGUCAACACAUGUGAAGUCCUGAUGUGGUCACAACAAGAAAAUUGCCUUGACAAAGAUAUCUUGUUUUCACUGCACCUCGGCUUUUGCCAUAAGGCCCAGCGUGACUAUAAUUUCUUUCAUGGGUCCUUCCCAAGCCACGUAGACCCUGUUCCUUUAGGAUACAAAAAUGCUGAACUUUUCUCUGUUCAGGGAAGCAGUUGGUCCUGCAUGCUGCUGCCUCCUGCCCAUUCAACCUAAAUGAAUCUCUCUUUAAAAGGUUUCCCCAGGACUGUCAUUCUUGAAAGGACAUCCUUCUGGGACCAAGGGUUAAUCUCCAGCCCCCCACAACACUACCUUGCUAUUAAAGCAUGGGCUUAGACAAAAGGGGGGCAAUUGAGGGAGAAUGGGUAACACAAUAGGUACCUUAGGAUCUGGGGGCUUCCUGAUCAGAAGCUACCUAUCUUGAGAAAUCUCAUAAUGUUGGGGAUCAAAAGUGAUGUCUGAGAUGUAGGGAUCACAAAGGUAGCUAAGUUAUCUUGAGAAGCCUAGGGUGUUUGAGAUGUAACAAGAGGGAUCCCCUCGUGGUCAGAGCCUUAUCUUAAGGCUGGUGUAAAUACACCCAAAGCUUAGAGGAAGAGGAUCCAAUGUAUGUUUGUUCAGUUGCCAGCCCUGCAAGGUGAAUUCCUCAUAUAAUCCUUGACCUGUGAUCUCUCUAGGAAUUUGGGGUGUACUGGGUGGGGGAACUUGGUGCUUGCCACAAUAGCAGGAGCCUCCCUUUUUAUUUUCUUUUUUAAUAAUUUGCCAUGUUUUUAUCUAACAGGAUAGUAGGAGCCUGGCCUUUCUUUCCGCCCCCCCCCCCCCAACCUAGUGCUUUCGUAGUAAGAUAGCAGGAGCUUUUGUUGUUGUUGUUUAUAACUUUGUCUAAACCCCAUGCUUUCAGGGCAGGGUAGGAGGAGCCUUUUUUUUUUUAAUAUUUUGUCAUUACAUGGCUGUGUUUUCAUAUAACAGGAGAGCAGGAGCUUGUCCUUUUUCUUUUCUUUGCCUAAACCUGUUUUCAUAGUAAGCUAGCAGGAGUUUGUCUUUUCUUUUUUUAAUUUUUGUUUUUAACUUUGCCUAAACCCCAUGCUUUCAUAGCAGGGUAGCAGUAACCUGGCUUUUUUUUUUUUUAACUAUUUUGUCUGAACCUAAUCUCAUGUUUUCAUGUAGCAGGAUAGUAGGAACCUGCCUUUUUUUCCCCUUUGCCUAAACCCCAUGCUUUCAUAGCAAGGUAGCAGAAGUCUGUCCAUUCAUUUUCUCUUUCUUUUCCUUUGCCUGAACCUGACCCUGUGCUUUCAGAGCUCCCACAUGCCUCCUUGUAUCAUAUUGUUGGCAUCUUUUAUGCCAUGAGAGAAAAAUAGCCCUGAGAGCUGAUGAGAGAAGAUGGUGUUUAGAAGCCCUGCUUGCUCCUCCCCAUCUUCUGUUCCCAGCAGAUUCACAUCUAAAGGGAAACCAUGCACGUUAGCAAAUAUCACUGAGGGGAAUAAGUACAAAUCGGUAACAAAACAUUAAAGCAGGGUCGAGCUUCUUGGUCAGAAUAAUCUUUGGCUAGCUACUUAGCAAACCCACAUUGAGCCAGGCAGGGAAACAAGUACAAAAUGGUUUAAUAAACUGGCCUCUUAUAAGGCAAUAGAAAAUCCCUUUUCUCUAAUGUGUUACAAAACCAAAUUCAUUUCCAAUGGUUGUUUUAUUGAGAUUUAUUAGGCCUUUGAUUUGUAACACCUCUAGCAGAGAUAAAGGGGCCCAAGCAGGCCUUCUUCCACCUCUGUAAAUGUGUAAAUUUAUGGUGAUCUUAACCAUCUGAGUCACAUAAAAAUCUUCUGACUUCCACUUGAUUGGGUGAUAAAACAAUGGAGGUCACGGAUUAUCAUGCUUAGGAAUCCAGUCUCCCCUCCCAAUUUUUGGUUAUUUUCUCCCCUACAGAAUAAAAAGAUCUUGCUUCUUUAUGUUUUUAGUGCAAACAGCCUCCCAAGAAAAUAGUUCAAAGGGACUUGCGCAGAGAGUCAGGUGAUUUGUGUGUAGCUGGACAAAUGCUGGUACAUACGCUCUGUUCUGUUCUUUGGGAGAAAGAACUCUCUAGCUUCCCUGUCUACCUGAGGUUCUGCCAAGAGUCCUAGGUUUUCAUAGCCUUGUUUCCUUUGUCUUAUUUUUAUCUUUGCCCUUAUUCAGAUACAUGGUGUGUGAGUUGGAGGCCUGCUAUCCCUUGAGAAAUAGAAUCCAAGUAAAGUGUGUUAAGUUUGGGAUGUCUAUUUUCUUUCCCACCCAUUUCAUGUUUCUUGUUCUACAGAGUGAAAAUAAAACAAAAUUAAGUUUUGCUGGAAAGUGUAAGCAAGAGAAAAUGCCCAUUGGGAAACAUUUGUUUUAGAAUCCAGGGAGAAAAAACCAAUAAACUGGAGAAAACUUGCAAUCUCUGACUGUGAUUCUGU